GCGGGUAUAGCUCAAUGGUAGAGCAGGGCUUUGCCAUAGCUCAGAUGAGGGUUCGAUUCCCUCUAUCCGCU
rnacentral:tRNA from 1 species